rnacentral:ncRNA from 1 species
ACUAUGACCCGAGGGUCCUCUAUACGCAGACGUUUGGACGGCCAAACCAAUAGCGA